rnacentral:rRNA from 1 species
UAGCGGAGCGUGUGGUUUAAUUCGAUUACACGAAGAACCUUACCAGGGUUUGACAUGCAAGUGGUAGGAAACCGAAAGGUGACCGACCCUUCGGGGAGCUUGCACAGGUGCUGCAUGGCUGUCGUCAGCUCGUGUCGUGAGAUGUUCGGUUAAGUCCGCUAACGAGCGCAACCCUCACUGUGUGUUAUAUGUGUCACACGGGACCGCCGGUCUUAAGCCGGAGGAAGGUGGGGAUGACGUCAAGUCAGCAUGGCCUUUAUAUCCUGGGCUGCACACACGCUACAAUGGCCAACACAAUAGGUCGCUAAGCCGCGAGGUGGAGCCAAUCCAUAAAGUUGGUCUCAGUUCAGAUUGCAGGCUGCAACCCGCCUGCAUGAAGAUGGAGUUGCUAGUAACCGCAUAA